UACGGAGGAUGCGAGCGUUAUCCGGAUUUAUUGGGUUUAAAGGGUGCGUAGACGGACUGUCAAGUCAGCGGUAAAAUUGAGAGGCUCAACCUCUUCCCGCCGUUGAAACUGGUGGUCUUGAGUGGAUGAGAAGUACGCGGAAUGCGUGGUGUAGCGGUGAAAUGCAUAGAUAUCACGCAGAACUCCGAUUGCGAAGGCAGCAUACCGGCGCCCUACUGACGCUGAGGCACGAAAGCGUGGGUAUCGAACAGG
rnacentral:rRNA from 1 species